CUUUUCUCCACACCCUCUCCAGCCUUUACUUGCAGUCUUUUUAAUGAUGGCCAUUCUGACUGGUGUGUGGUCAUACCUCAUUUUUUCUUUGCAUUUGUUUCUUACCUACAAGGGAGCAGACAGAGGGCACUGACCUCCGUUUUCUAACCCACCCAGAGGGGAGGGGACCCUCCCACGCAGCCAGACUCUGUUCAUCUCUUGGAGUGCACCCCCACUCCCGUCCCCAGCUUCUGUGUACUUUUUAUUCUCAACCCCAAACCUGAAAUUCUUCACAAGAGGACUCUCCUCGGGGCUCUGAAGCACUUUGCCCCAUGCUCAAGGGCAGCUGGCAGUACCUGGGAAUGCCUAGAAAAACGGAAGGAGAGAGAAGGUCCCGUCUCUCCCCACGCGGUUGCCGGCCCUGCCAGCAGCCAGCAGGCAGCACGGAGCUGAGCCUGCAGCAGAAGCGGCCGUCUCCCCUUCCGGGCUGACCUGCCUGCGACCCUCCCCAGAGACGUGACAUCCCUCCUGCCAUCAGCCCCUGCAAUGUGACUCACUGCCUCCGGCGCUGACACAGCCUGGUGACAAUUACAGGGUAAGAGCGAUUCCAAACCGUGGAGCUUUCAGACCGGGGCUGUUAUCCUUAUGUAACAUUUCUAUUUCCUUUUGUCCUCGGAGCCUCAGGACUUCCGGCUCCUGAUCAGUCAUAGAGUGACUUCUGCUGAAGAGACUGGGGCAGGACAAAGGUUCUGGAUGUCUUUAUUCUCCUCUCUCUCAGCUCUCUUCAUUAAGCUAUCCCCUGUUCUCCACCCAACACCCCUGAGAUGGCUGAUUCCCUAUGACAAAUUGGGAACAAGGAGAGAGAGAGACAGCCACCUUGAUGGAGCCACUGCACAUGCUGGUUUGGCCGUGCUUUCCUCUGGUUUGGGACCAUCUCAGCUUGAAGCGCAACGCCUUCUCCCACCUGCCUUUGCCCUGACGGGCAGGGACAGGAAAGCCACUGCUAUUCCCUUCAGACAAGGCCUCCAGAGCUGCUGGGAGCCACCUCGCCCCUCCCACUCCUCUGCUCCAGUUCACGUGGCUUUCCCCGGCUUGGCGGGGAGCUGGGCAGGGGGGCCCCAACCCCUAGCCUUCCUUGGGCUGCGGCAGUGACGGACUUAAUCAGAGAGGCGGGCUGCGGCCAUUCAGCCUGAAGGCCACCUGUGUUCCGAAUGUGCAAAUUCAUUCACUCGGGGAAAAGCCGCGAGUCCCAGGGGAGUCAACCGAUUUCACUGCACUGCACAUGGCUUUGGGCAAAUAAGCAAUCUUAUUUCCUCUUCCCUACCCCCUUAAAAACAUCAAUGAAGUGUUUUGUGGUGUUGCUGACAGCACAUGUCACUUCGAGGCUGGAAAUAAAAUCUUUGAGCUAUUUAUAACCAACUGGCAAAUGGGAGACAGCGGGAAGGAAAGGACGACUAAAGCCGGAAUCGAGGGGUGAGCUGAGUGCCGGCCCCUCCACCUCCUGGUGGUGCAUCUCGGCAGAAGUCACUCAGCGUCCCUGGACCCCAUCUCCACCUGCGGAGGUGGGUGGACUCCCUUUCCACCUGCCUAGAGCGCUUAGAAGGUGCGGGUAUGGAAGGAAGGGCUGCCGGAAAUGAGAGGACACCCACGCUCUCCAAGGAAACGGGGUGCACUUUAUAAACUUUAACGUGCUUCUUCAGUGAAGUUUCAAAGAAACUGAGCUGUCUUUUUUUCAAAUCAGGGGUUUUUAACCUGGGAAACUGGGUUCAAAACAGCAUUAGGGAAUCUGGAAACUACUGGUAAUUUUUUUUUUGGCCUCACCCGCAACAUGCAAUAAUUCCUGGGACCAAGGAUCGAACCCACACCAUAGCAGUGACAAUGCCAAGUCCUUCACCACUGGGCCACCGGGGAACUGACUUACUUUAAGCUAUCUCCGGGAGUUCCCAUUGUAGCUCAGCAGAUCAUAAACCAGACUAGUAACCAUGAGGACAAGGGUUCGAUCCCUGGCCUUGAUCAGCAGGUUAAGGAUCUGGCAUUGCUGUAAGCUGUGGUGUAGGGCAAAGAUGCGACUUGGAUCCCGCAUUGAUGUGGCUGUGGUGUAGGUCGGCAGCUGUAGCUCUGAUUCGAUCCCUAGUCUGGGAACUUCCAUAUGCCGCAGGUGCAGCCCUAAAAAGCAAAAAAAGAAAAGAAAAAAGAGAGAGAGAAAGAAAAAAAGAUAUCUAGGAGUUCCCACUGUGGUGCAGUAGCCGAAGACUCGGAAAGAGGCCUGUCAUCUCAGAAAGGGAGAUGGAGUUGACUGGGGAGAGACAGAAUUCCCCAGAAGGAGCUGAGUUGUUCAAACACUGUGGUAUGCAAACAGAUAAACCUCCAGAAACAGAGGACCAGGCCAGAACAAAAUGAGAUCUUAGCGCACGGAAGGUUACCUGCUGGAGGUUCUCAGAGAUCUGCCUCGGUGGCAGUGAAGGGUAAUGAAUACAGAAGCAGCCUUGACUCCGAAGACUUAAGUCCAAUGACAUCCAGGAAAACAACCUUAAUUCCUCUGGUCUCCGUUUCCUCUGUUUUGAGGCGACUGAAUGAGGUCCCCCGCGUCACACCGUCCUGCCCACUCGCCACAGCCCAGCUUUGGCUUAACUCCAUGCCCCGCUCUAGCCAGGGGGACAUUGGCUGUCAGGACAGGAGCAGAGACUCGGAUGCCAUCAGGCUGCCAGUGGGCCUGCUUCUGUGCUCUGAUUUUCCACCACCUGGGGGAGCUGCUGAGCCUUUAGCCCAGGACCCAGACCUGAGCCCAACCUGCAGGUCAACCGGAGCCACCAGCUGAGCCCAGGACCGGCCUUGAUUCUGUCAACAGGAAGAUCUAUGGACAUGGAGAUAAAUGUCCACCUCUUUACGCCACUGGGAUUCUGCAGAUGUUUGUUACACACCAGAUCCACUUGUCAAAUGAUGGCAGUACCAUUCUUUUUAUUUUUUCCUUUUUACGGCUGCACCUGUGGCAUAUGGAAGUUCCCGAGCUAGAGGUCCAAAUCGGCAACUGCCAGCCACAGCCAUGCCAGAUCCAAGCCGUAUCAGUGACCGUCACCGUAGCUUGUGGCAACAUCAGAUCCUUAACUCACUGAGCAAGGCCAGGGAUCAAACCCAUAUCCUCACAGACACUAUGUUGGCGUCUUAACCCGCUGAGCCGCAGCAGGAAUGCUGGGCAGCAGUAUUCUGAUGAACUCUUUGCCCUGUGCUCGGAAUCAGAAGCCAGUACAUUAAUGAAAGUCUCUCACGCACUGUAACAGAUGCCAAAGGUAGUUGUUGAUCCGUUAUUGGGUAAGAAAUCUAGACAUGUCUUAAAUGGGGUGAAAAGAGGAAAAUGAUUGAAUGCAAACAUAAACGGCAAGUGAACUAUUAUCUCACACCCCCAUUCAGCCUUUUUACAGAGACCUGCUCAGGGUCAUUACCCUGUAGGGAGAAGUGACACCUGCAGACCCUCUGCCCAGAACAAGCCUCCACUCCCCCUGCUUCUGAGAGCUGCUUGCGUUCCUGGCCACCGUUCUCAGCUUCGGUCACUCCAACAUCUUCUCUGACUCUGUUUCUCCUGCCUCCCUCUUUCCUUGUAAGGAUCCUUGUGAUGACGCUGGGCCACCUGGAAAAUCCCAGAUAAUCUCGCCAUCUCUAGAUCCUUCAAGUAAUCAUGUCUGCAAGGUCCCUCCUGCCGGAAACGACAGAGUCAGUUUCUGGGGAGAGGACCAUGGACAUCUCUGGCCCGUAUUCUGCCCGCCGCCGUGGAUUGCUGACCGCCCUCUUUGAAAAGUGGAGCUCAGACACUAGAAAAUCCUCCGAAAUCAGGAAAGGACAGGGUGACAGUCACCAGCGCAAACCUGUUCGUGUAUAUUGCAGUUCUCGCUCCUUCCGGUCACAUGGUAACAUCGCACUUCCCGGCCCCCCUUGAAAACUUUCAUGCGAUUUGUUCUGGCCAUGCAAACAGGAGAAGAGAUUGUGGCACUUCAGGGUAACAGUCUUCCUGGCAGUGUGAGAUGCACCUGCUCUUUCCUUUCCCUCCACCAGGGCCGCUGGCGAAUGGUGGCCUUUCUAUCAGCCCGAGUCCCAGAGUAAGGUAGACGCCGAGAUGUCCCAUGAUGGACACACAACAUUAAUAAGAAAUAAAGUUUGUCGUUUUAAGUUACUAAGAUGUGGGGGCCUCACUUAACCCACCCCGGUGUGUACAGCGUUAAGGCAACCGAAUGCAUGUCUACUAUAAUUCUCCACUGUAAUUGUAUCUUUCCAAGUAUAACAGCAAGAACUCCCACCCCUGGUCCCAUUUAAGCUGUCAUGGCCAAGGUUCCAGCAUCAGUGAAAGAAUGCAGAGGUCAAACUAAGAUCUUCUAAAGCCAACUAAGCAUACCCGCCGGUCACUCCCUAAGUAUACCCACGUGCACACAGGCAAAAGCACACGGAAGCACGCACACGCGUGCAGAGCCAAGCUGUAUAUUCUCAGAGAAGCUGCCCCGGCCCAGCCUUCUCCUGGGCUCCCAGUUACUUGCACAGCCCCAGGUCAGAAAAUCCAGUGGCGUGGAGGACAGGGCUGCGGCGGGAAAUGGUGACACAGAUUCCAGCGCACUGGGUCUCUCAGACGCCUAAAUGGGGAUGAAGAGGCGGGUUGACACACGCGGUCGAGAGAUACCCAGCUGAACAAAGAGACUUGACAGGCUGGUUCUGACUGUGUCCGCCCCGGGUCCUCCCUCCAAGGCAUGCAAGGAGAUGGAAAGCCAGACAGCCUGAGUCCCGGCGAGGCAAGCCAGUUAAGGCAAAUCCUCCCCCACAUCUGGACUCACCAGAAAGGGGGUCACUGGUGAUGGCUGUUUGCCAAAGAGCCGGGCCUGGAAGACGGCUUGAAGGAAAAGAAGAAGCCUGUUGCACGCCGGGAGCUGGGGAUGGGAGGGUUGAUUUGGGGGCAUGUGUAUGUCAGUGGGCAGUCGGGAUGAAUAAGGAAGACAGAACACAAUUUGUCUUAGAAAUAAAUCCAGGAACUUUUCUCCACCGGUGUGUCUGGCACAAAGGUGAUUCUCAGUGUGGUGGGGGGAAGGGGGCGCAGCUCUGUAAUUUGGGGGAGUUUAAAUGGCGAAGGUGGUUUUGGACUCAGACACACCCAGGUUUAAAGCUCAACCACUGAGAGUAUGCAGGGGGCUAAAGACACCCAACCUAAGCUUCAUCUACUUAACAUACAUAGUCCUUUUAAUUAAUUUUACUUUUUAAAUUUUAAAAUAAAAAUAAAUAAUA
rnacentral:lncRNA from 9 species